AAGCCAAUGAAGAGUGAGGCAGAUCUUGCUAUUUAAAUCCAGUGGGACUUGGUUAGAACUCUUUUAUUCUCUUGAGUUUAAAGAAAACAAACCCACUUCUCUUGCAGGAUGUAGGGCCUGCUCCAAGCCAGCAGCUCCCGGCUUCCUCCCCAAAAUGCAGGCCUUCCAGCCAACAGCCUGAGGUCAUGGAUGGUGUCGCAGCCAGUCCAUCCAGCAUGUCACAAGCCAAACUGUGCUCAGCCUGGACCUGUGAGCGGGCUGUGGGACCUCCUCUGCAGAGAACAGCUUCUUGGAGGCACCUGAAGGCACUGGGGCUGGGGUGUGGCAGGUGUGCAAACACCUCUCCCUGGCACAACAUACUGAGGCUGUGAUCACAGGAAGGCCUGGCCCAGGCCACCAAGACAGCACCGCAGGUAAACACAGGAUAGGCAGGCCUCUGGGCCCAUGUCCGGUUAGAGGAGGGACACAGAAAGGACAUGAUUCAUCCCGUCUAUGGCGUCUGCCUGGCUAGGCCUUCUCUGACCCACCCACUAGGCACUACUGCUCUCAGGCAGAGCAAAUCAGAACCCCCAAGAAUCUUUCACAAAAUACAUGCAACUCCCUGCCCCACCCACCAUGUGGAAUCCCCUCAGGGUUAUUCACCAACCUACCCAAUGAAAUGACUGCUCCCGAAGCAAUGAUUUGCAAUUCUUAAAAAGUAACUGAACCCUUUUCUUCAGUCUUUUGUACAAACAAGCCUAUUAUGCAAAGCAGAUAACA